AUGAAGGUUAGGAGCAUGAUUGCCAACAUCCACCCAAGUAUUUUAAACCACAUCAGUUAAAGUAUGACAAAAUAACCAAAAUUUUUUAAACCUAAAAGAGGGAGGACCUCUUGUGGAUUGAUUGGACAUUAAGAUAGAUAGCGAAUAAUGAUCAAAAGCAAAAUGACUCAAACAAGUAACAAUAGAUUCAGAAUAUAAAUUUAAUCAAGUAGUUGAAGUAAAAGCCCUAUCAAUCCUUUUCCAAACUCUAACUUAACCAAAUUGAUUAUUACACCAUGUAUACCGAGGACC
rnacentral:lncRNA from 1 species